AUGGAAACGACGGUUCUGCUUUACCGGAGGCCGACUUGAAGCAAGUCUUUCUGACCCAUCUACAGAAAAAGAGAGAUUAAUUCUCUCCCUGGUCCCCCUCUUCCUUCCCUUUCCUCUCUCCUUUCUCUGCCCCUCCAUAUACCCUUGUAUAACCACAGGUAAGUAUAUAAAAUGUUUUGUGGGUACCAUCAUUGAUGGUAACUGCCAGAUAUUUCCAGCAUUCGCCUCCAUCGCCUUUGGUAGGUCUGAGGAUGGAACUCGGGUCUUUAGGCUUUGUGACAAGUAACUUUACCUGCAAAGUCAUCUAGACAACAAACAGAUGGCUCUGCUCGAGUCCAGUUCUUCAGAGAGCGUCUCCUGACAAAUCCCACUCUUGGAAGGUGCUUUGUACUUGUGGAUUUUUGUAAAGAAAAAAAAAAAAGAAAGAAGGAAAGACUGGACACACUUGAAGCUGAGAUUUCAUAAAACAACAGUAUUCUAAGAGACUACACUCUUCAUUCUUCCCUAGAAAUCUAGACGAUGCUUCUGCUAGCAAACGUCAUAUAUAAAGUCAAAACGUCAAAUAAAGUGUUGGGACCUAGGACCUUUGGGUUUUCCAGCCUGAUUUCCCUCUCUGGCAGCUGCCUGGUUUCUUUGGUUCGGCUGAAGCUGAAUGGAGAGUGCCACUCGCUUGGCCCGCACACACUGCAACUUUUAAUUGGGUAGUAAACAGAGGAAAACACACUUCCUGUUUCCAGUAAAAAGCAGGCAUAUGAGAAGGAAGGCCUGAAGCCCAGACUGUGCCUAUGAUCUCACAGGCUUCUUAUGAUCAACCUCCAACAGCAUCCCUCAGGAGAAUGGUCUCAGGCACAGCCCUUUGGGAAGCAGGCCGGGCGAAGUCAGCACGUAGAGAAAUACAAACACCAAAAUCAAUCUGCUUAAACCGUGAUAACCACAAUCAGUUCUUCACACAACUGAUGAGACUUGAAUGUGUGCCUUUUAUCAACUUGAUUCUAUAUCACACAUCUCAGUCGAUGUGUAUUGAAGCCUUGCUUACAUAGCAGGGCUGGAUUCAGUACUAAGGGUGUGGAGAAGAGAAAACCUGGUUCCUGAGCCCAGCUACCUCAUCUGGGCUAACAAACUAAAGCUGAAUUUCAAAAGUAAUUACUAAGGAGGUCUUUGUUUCUUUCGGUUUUCUUUCCUUUUUUUCUUGAGGAAUGAAAUUAAAAGCAUGAUUUAUAACUUUCCAGACAAACAUGCAUAUUUCAUUUUGUGAGGCAAUGUCUUACCAUGUAUCUCAGACAGUCCUUAAACUUAUUACAUAGCCCAGAUUGCUCUUUCACUCACAGCAAUCCUCCUGCCUCAGCCUCCUGAGUGCUGGGACAACAGGUGUGCACCGUCAUCGUCAGCAUGUCUUAUAUAAACAUGUAAAAAUACAAAAACAGUGGACUAUUUUAAGGGAAUCAAACACCAAUUACAUAAAAGACAUAGUUACAUAAAAUCACCAAACUCGUAACAUCUGGGGUGUAUUAAGUCUCUUAGAAAAGUGUACCUUUUCUUAAUAUUUAGUCCUUUAUUAUAGUGCAUUUGAAGCCCUUUCAUUUGUGAAACACAAUUAUCACCAGAUUAAUUAAAAACAGCUCUUUCCAG
rnacentral:lncRNA from 1 species